UGGGGAAUAUUGCACAAUGGGCGCAAGCCUGAUGCAGCCAUGCCGCGUGUGUGAAGAAGGCCUUCGGGUUGUAAAGCACUUUCAGCGGGGAGGAAGGCGGUGAGGUUAAUAACCUCAUCGAUUGACGUUACCCGCAGAAGAAGCACCGGCUAACUCCGUGCCAGCAGCUGCGGUAAUACGGAGGGUGCAAGCGUUAAUCGGAAUUACUGGGCGUAAAGCGCACGCAGGCGGUCUGUCAAGUCGGAUGUGAAAUCCCCGGGCUCAACCUGGGAACUGCAUUCGAAACUGGCAGGCUAGAGUCUUGUAGAGGGGGGUAGAAUUCCAGGUGUAGCAGUGAAAUGCGUAGAGAUCUGGAGGAAUACCGGUGGCGAAGGCGGCCCCCUGGACAAAAUCUGACGCUCAGGUGCGAAAGCGUGGGGAGCAAACAGG
rnacentral:rRNA from 1 species